rnacentral:rRNA from 1 species
CGGAGGAUCCAAGCGUUAUCCGGAAUCAUUGGGUUUAAAGGGCCCGUAGGCGGUUUAGUAAGUCAGUGGUGAAAGCCCAUCGCUCAACGGUGGAACGGCCAUUGAUACUGCUAAACUUGAAUUAUUAGGAAGUAACUAGAAUAUGUAGUGUAGCGGUGAAAUGCUUAGAGAUUACAUGGAAUACCAAUUGCGAAGGCAGGUUACUACUAAUGGAUUGACGCUGAUGGACGAAAGCGUGGGUAGCGAACAGGAUUAGAUACCCUGGUAGUCCACGCCGUAAACGAUGGAUACUAGCUGUUGGGGGCAACUUCAGUGGCUAAGCGAAAGUGAUAAGUAUCCCACCUGGGGAGUACGAACGCAAGUUUG